GAUGAACGCUGGCGGCGUGCCUAAUACAUGCAAGUCGAGCGAACAGACGAGGAGCUUGUGCCCUUGACGUUAGCGGCGGACGGGCGAGUAACAAGUGGAUAAGCAACCUAUAUGACUGGGAUAACUUCGGGAAGCCGGAGCCAAUAAAGGAUAAUAUAUAGAACCGCAUGGAUCAAUAGUGAAAGACGGUUUUGCCGACACAUAUAGAUGGAUCCGCGCCGCAUUAGCUAGUUGGUAAGGUAACGGCUUACCAAGGCAACGAUGCGUAGCCGACCUGAGAGGGUGAUCGGCCACACUGGAACUGAGACACGGUCCAGACUCCUACGGGAGGCAGCAGUAGGGAAUCUUCCGCAAUGGGCGAAAGCCUGACGGAGCAACGCCGCGUGAGUGAUGAAGGUCUUCGGAUCGUAAAGCUCUGUUAUUAGGGAAGAACAGAUGUGUAAGUAACUAUGCACGUCUUGACGGUACCUAAUCAGAAAGCCACGGCUAACUACGUG
rnacentral:rRNA from 1 species